UGUUGCUUGCAAGGGCGUAUGGUGGAUGCCUUGGCAGACAGGACCGAUGAAGGACGUUUGAGGCUGCGAUAUGCCUCGGGGAGCCGCCAACAGGGCUUUGAUCCGAGGAUUUCCGAAUGGGGGAACCCACCGACCGUCAUGGGUCGGUACCGGCUUCGGCCGGGGGGUACGCAGGGAAGUGAAACAUCUCAGUACCUGCAGGAAAGGAUAUUCCGUGAGUAGUGGCGAGCGAAAGCGGAUGAUGGCCAAACCUUGCGCGUGUGAUACCCGUCGGGGGUUGCGCGCGGGGUGUUGCGGGAUCGCGUGCGCCGGCUCCGACGGGCCGGCCGGCAGUUGCAGAAAACCAUGUGUCAGGGGAACCGGGUUGAAUACCGGGCCGCAGAGGGUGAGGGCCCCGUACCUGAACGCGCAUGGUCUGCCGAUCGCGUCUCCCAAGUAGCACGGGUCCCGUGGAACCCCGUGCGAAUCCGCCCAGACCGUUGGGUAAGCCUGAAUAUUCCUGUCUGACCGAUAGCGAACGAGUACCGUGAGGGAAAGGUGAAAAGUACCCCGGGAGGGGAGUGAAACAGUCUCUGAAACCGUGCGCCUACAAUCCGUCGGAGCCCUUUUGUGGGGUGACGGCGUGCCUAUCGAAAAAUGAGUCUGCGAGUCAGUGGCAUGUGGCGAGCAUAACCCGUGUGGGGUAUGCGUAGCGAAGGCGAGUCUUAAAAGGCGUUUGAGUCGCGUGUCCUGGACCCGAAGCGGGAUGAUCUAGCCCUGAGCAGGUUGAAGCGCGGGUAAGACCGCGUGGAGGACCGAACCCACCUGGGUUGAAAACCGGGGGGAUGACUUGGGGCUAGGGGUGAAAGGCCAAUCAAAUUCCGUGAUAGCUGGUUCUCUCCGAAAUGCAUUUGGGUGCAGCGUCGGGUCAUUACGUCCCGGGGGUAGAGCUACUGGAUGCUUGCGGGCCCGUAUCGGGUACCAACAGCAACCAAACUCCGAAUACCGGUGACGCGUAUCCCGGCAGUGAGUCGGCGGGGGAUAAGCUUCGUCGUCGAAAGGGAAACAGCCCAGACCGUCGUCUAAGGUCCCGAAGCGUGUGCUAAGUGGGAAAGGAUGUGGAGUCGCAUAGACAGCCAGGAGGUUGGCUCAGAAGCAGCCACCCUUGAAAGAGUGCGUAACAGCUCACUGGUCUAGUGGUUCCGCGCCGACAAUGUAGCGGGGCUCAAGCACACCACCGAAGACGCGGCAGUAUUUUGUACUGGGUAGGAGAGCGUCCCAUGAGGGGCGAAGCGGCCGUGUGAACGCGCCGUGGACUUCAUGGGAGUGAGAAUGCAGACAUGAGUAGCGAGAGACGGGUGAAGAUCCCGUCCGCUGGAUGACCAAGGGUUCCAGGGCCACGUUCAUCGUCCCUGGGUGAGUCGGGUCCUAAGGCGAGGCCGACAGGCGUAGUCGAAUGGAUGAACGGGUCGAUAUUCCCGUACCGGCUUUCAGCCGCCAAAACCGAGGCUUGGAGUACUAACCUCCGGGUCCGGGCUUACUGCUCCUUCGGGGGCGGGAUGCCCUGGCCUGUUGGGACCGAUCCUUGUAGUAGGUCAGCGCAGGAGUGACGCAGAAGGGUAGCCGGCCGCGGAGGUGGUCUUCCGUGGUCAAGCACGCAGGGCGUGGGACAGGCAAAUCCGUCCCGCAUGGGUCCGAGGUGCGAUGAUGGGGGCCUUAUGGCCCGAUAUCCGGUGAUCCCGGCUGCCGAGAAAAGCUUCGGCGUCAGGCUCGAAGCCGCCCGUACCCCAAACCGACACUGGUGGUCAGGUAGAGAAUACCAAAGCGAUCGAGCGAAUCCUGGUCAAGGAACUCGGCAAAUCACUCCCGUUCCUUCGGUUUAAGGGAGACCCCCGAUGGUGAACACACUUGCUGUGGGAGCUUUUGGGGGUGGCACAGACCAGGGGGUAGCGACUGUUUACCAAAAACACAGGUGCAUGCGAAGGCGCAAGCCGCUGUAUAUGCACUGACGCCUGCCCGGUGCCGGAAGGUUAAGAGGAGAGCUUAGAGCAAUCGAAGGUUUGAAUUGAAGCCCCGGUAAACGGCGGCCGUAACUAUAACGGUCCUAAGGUAGCGAAAUUCCUUGUCGGGUAAGUUCCGACCUGCACGAAUGGCGUAAUGAUGGCCAGGCUGUCUCCACCCGAGACUCAGUGAAAUUGAACUCGCUGUGAAGAUGCAGUGUACCCGCGGCAAGACGGAAAGACCCCGUGAACCUUUACUAUAGCUUGACACUGAACAUUGAGCCUUGAUGUGUAGGAUAGGUGGGAGGCUUUGAAGUGUGGACGCCAGUCUGCAUGGAGCCGACCUUGAAAUACCACCCUUUAAUGUUUGAUGUUCUAACGUUGGCCCGUAAUCCGGGUUGCGGACAGUGUCUGGUGGGUAGUUUGACUGGGGCGGUCUCCUCCUAAAGAGUAACGGAGGAGCACGAAGGUUGGCUAAUCCUGGUCGGACAUCAGGAGGUUAGUGCAAUGGCAUAAGCCAGCUUGACUGCGAGCGUGACGGCGCGAGCAGGUGCGAAAGCAGGUCAUAGUGAUCCGGUGGUUCUGAAUGGAAGGGCCAUCGCUCAACGGAUAAAAGGUACUCCGGGGAUAACAGGCUGAUACCGCCCAAGAGUUCAUAUCGACGGCGGUGUUUGGCACCUCGAUGUCGGCUCAUCACAUCCUGGGGCUGAAGUAGGUCCCAAGGGUAUGGCUGUUCGCCAUUUAAAGUGGUACGCGAGCUGGGUUUAGAACGUCGUGAGACAGUUCGGUCCCUAUCUGCCGUGGGCGCUGGAGAACUGAGGGGGGCUGCUCCUAGUACGAGAGGACCGGAGUGGACGCAUCACUGGUGUUCGGGUUGUCAUGCCAAUGGCACUGCCCGGUAGCUAAAUGCGGAAGAGAUAAGUGCUGAAAGCAUCUAAGCACGAAACUUGCCCCGAGAUGAGUUCUCCCUGACUCCUUGAGGGUCCUGAAGGAACGUUGAAGACGACGACGUUGAUAGGCCGGGUGUGUAAGCGCAGCGAUGCGUUGAGCUAACCGGUACUAAUGAACCGUGAGGCUUAACCUU
rnacentral:rRNA from 1 species